rnacentral:rRNA from 1 species
UACGGAGGGUGCGAGCGUUGUCCGGAAUCACUGGGCGUAAAGGGCGCGUAGGUGGCGCAGGAAGUCAACGGUGAAAGUUCGGGGCUCAACCCUGAAUCGGCCGUCGAUACUCCUGGGCUCGAGCACUGUAGAGGCAGAUGGAAUUCCGGGUGUAGCGGUGGAAUGCGUAGAGAGUCCGGAAGAACACCGGUGGCGAAGGCGGUCUGCUGGGCAGUUGCUGGA